rnacentral:rRNA from 1 species
GACGAAGGGGGCUAGCGUUGUUCGGAAUUACUGGGCGUAAAGCGCACGUAGGCGGAUCGUUAAGUCGAGGGUGAAAUCCUGGAGCUCAACUCCAGAACUGCCUUCGAUACUGGCGAUCUAGAGUCCGGAAGAGGUGAGUGGAACUCCUAGUGUAGAGGUGGAAUUCGUAGAUAUUAGGAAGAACACCAGUGGCGAAGGCGGCUCACUGGUCCGGUACUGGACG